CGCUCAUGUUACGUUGAAACACCGGUUCCUCUACGAUCAACGAAGUUAAGCAACGACGAGCUUGGUCAGUACCUAGAUGGGUGACUGCUUGGGAAUGCCAGGUGCUGUAA